AAAGAGAGCAGCUGGCUAGAGCCCAGCAGAAGAAACUCAGUGCCUGGGAGACCAGCUUUCUGUGCUACAUUAUUUCUACGGCCAAGAAGCCACUGGAGUUCAAGGAGAGAAGGAGCUGGAUGGCCAAGAGGAAAAUGAAACUCUGGGAUGAAUAUAUUGGUCCCUGGAAGGCAAUUCCUGUAAACAAAUUAA
rnacentral:lncRNA from 12 species